rnacentral:rRNA from 1 species
ACGAACGCUGGCGGCGUGCUUAACACCUGCCAGUCGAACGGUGAAGCGCCUUCCUUUUUGGUGGGUGUGGAUGAGUGGCGAACGGGUGAGUAACACGUGAGUAACCUGCCCCCUUCUUCUGGAUAACCGCAUGAAAGUGUGGCUAAUACGGGAUAUUCUGGGUCUGUCGCAUGAUGGGUCUGGGAAAGAUAUUGUUUCGGUGGGGGAUGGGCUCGCGGCCUAUCAGCUUGUUGGUGGGGUGAUGGCCUACCAAGGCGGUGACGGGUAGCCGGCCUGAGAGGGUGGACGGUCACACUGGGACUGAGACACGGCCCAGACUACUACGGGAGGCAGCAGUGGGGAAUAUGGCACAAUGGGCGCAAGCCUGAUGCAGCGACGCCGCGUGAGGGAUGGAGGCCUUCGGGUUGUGAACCUCUUUCGCCAGUGAAGCAGGCCUGCCUCGUUUGUGGGUGGGUUGACGGUAGCUGGAUAAGAAGCGCCGGCUAACUACGUG